CUACGGGAGGCUGCAGGCGAGAAAACUUUGCAAUGUGCGAAAGCACGACAAGGUUAAUCCGAGUGGUUUCUGCUAAAGGAACCUUUUGUCGGUCCUAGAAACACCGAUGAAUAAGGGGUGGGCAAGUUCUGGUGUCAGCCGCCGCGGUAAAACCAGCACCUCAAGUGGUCAGGAUGAUUAUUGGGCCUAAAGCAUCCGUAGCCGGCUCUGUAAGUUUUCGGUUAAAUCUGUACGCUUAACGUACAGGCUGCCGGGAAUACUGCAUAGCUAGGGAGUGGGAGAGGUAGACGGUACUCGGUAGGAAGGGGUAAAAUCCUUUGACCUAUUGAUGACCACCUGUGGCGAAGGCGGUCUACCAGAACACGUCCGACGGUGAGAGAUGAAAGCUGGGGGAGCAAACCGGAUUAGAUACCCCAGUAGUC
rnacentral:rRNA from 1 species